GACGAACGCUGGCGGCGUGCUUAACACAUGCAAGUCGAACGGAAAGGCCCUGCUUUUGUGGGGCGCUCGAGUGGCGAACGGGUGAGUAACACGUGAGUAACCUGCCCUUGACUUUGGGAUAACUUCAGGAAACUGGGGCUAAUACCGGAUAGGAGCUCCUGCUGCAUGGUGGGGGUUGGAAAGUUUCGGCGGUUGGGGAUGGACUCGCGGCUUAUCAGCUUGUUGGUGGGGUAGUGGCUUACCAAGGCUUUGACGGGUAGCCGGCCUGAGAGGGUGACCGGCCACAUUGGGACUGAGAUACGGCCCAGACUCCUACGGGAGGCAGCAGUGGGGAAUAUUGCACAAUGGGCGGAAGCCUGAUGCAGCAACGCCGCGUGCGGGAUGACGGCCUUCGGGUUGUAACCCGCUUUCGCCUGUGACGAAGCGUGAGUGACGGUAAUGGGUAAAGAAGCACCGGCUAACUACGUG
rnacentral:rRNA from 1 species